rnacentral:tRNA from 1 species
GCCUGGGUGGCUCAGUCAGUUGAGCGUCUGACUUCAGCUCAGAUCAUGGUCUCACAGUUCAUGAGUUCGAGCCCCACAUCAGGCU